rnacentral:piRNA from 2 species
UAGUUAACUCCAUACUCUUCAGACUGUGA